ensembl:lncRNA
UCAAUCUAUGUACAUUUUUAAUGAUAACAUGAGGCUUUAUACCAAUAGCCUGAUAAUUUUACAUGUGAAAUCUAUUGAAAACAUAGAAACUCAAGUUCCAGCUCCUAGAAGAUAUCGAUAUAUUUUUGUCUAUAGCAAUGUCCUCACAUUAUCACCAAAAUUUCUCACUGAAAAUUAAACAAACAAACAAACAAACAAAAAGAUUAACAAAACCACACCUCUGUAGUACUAAUUACUAUCAGUAAUUAGUGUUUAUGAGGUGCAGAGAGCAGUGAUGCAGCAAUACCUGCGGAGGAGAGCAGAUCUGAAUUCCUUUACAUGGCAGGGGCAGAGGACAGUAUACAGCAUACAGGGACAAUGAUCCAGGGGCUGUGGAGCACAGCACGAACACUUGGUGGAGUCACCUUGGGUCUGCACCAAACCAGCCAUGAACGUAGGGCACAAAGAACGUAGGACGUGUUCUACAGGGCCUCUACAACAGAGUUCAGUAUAAAUACCUCCUCCAUUAGGAGGAACUCAGUUUGCAACACCCGUAUAGACCACUCAAGACACGGGUUAGCUUAGUGUCUCGAAGCAAAGCACAACCGCCACCCACCCCACUGCCAGACCAGUGCCAGGCUCUGCACAGAUGCAUAGUCCACAACUCCAUAUGGAGAACAAGAACCUGAAGCUGAGAUUCAUUGAUCAAAGCUGGCUGAGUGGGUGGACUGAGCUUGUUCAGGGCUGGCAAACAGCCCGCACAGCUGCAGGCUCAUUCAGCACUCUUACUCCUCCCUGUUUGCUCCAGGCCCUGUGACCAUAAGGUUAGCCUUUUACACCUACAUGGGUGCUUUUUCCUUCACCACUGCUUCAGUUACUGUCCUACAUCCAACUUGUUUCCAAGAACUCCUCUGUAGAACCCAGAUUCCAAACUCAAGAGACAAAGGAGGCAAGUACAAAGCCAACAAAUAUGCCUGCAGGGAUCAGCCUGGAUCUGGCAGUACCAUUCUUAAAAGAGAGCUAGAAAACUGCUGACCUUUGAGGGACUCCUCUUGGAGACAUUUUGGUGGCUCUGUACAACCUCCCUCCCAACUCCAGAAUUGAGAGUGUUGUUUCAAACUUAAGGUUGGCUCUGCACAAGAAAGGUUCAGGAUCAAAGCUUAUUAGGUUAGCUCAAUUCUGUAUUGCUUUCUAACCAGUGUGAGGUGUUACAAUUAUACCCUAAGGUACAUACUGUAGGUAGGCUAUUCCCACUGCUUUGUUGAUUUUGUUGGAGCAGGAUACAGGAGUCCUUUUAACAUUAUGACUUUCAAUCAUGCAGACAAAGGUUUGGUAUGGGAGACACCCAAGCAGGGGAAAAAUACAGUAGUUAAACAUGACAGGCAAAUGAACAUACCCGACACCUGUAAAGAGAGAAACUGUGAUGAAUAGCGUGCUUAGUUCCUUUAGACAAUCAUGGUAAGCAAACAGAUUGUGUGUCUCUACCUGGCUACCUUUUUUUCCCCCCCAACAGUUAAAUUUCUGCUUCUCACUUAGAAAAGCUGUAAUUGUACCCAACACAGCUUUCACACUGUUACUCUAUUCAGAAAUUUAAUUAAGUUUUGAUUACUCUAACAUUUCAGUAUCUGUUUUGUAACAGUAUGAAGGACUAAACAAAACACUAAUCUAUUUUUACUAAUGUAUUUAAUUUUCGCUGCAUACUUUAAACAUGCAUAAAAUCAGCUGCUUAAAUCACAGGAUUACUCUUCCACAACAGGAAUACCAGCCUUCACUGGAAACAACUGAGACAUUCCUGGGGACAGUAAGUUGGCUCGGCUGGAAGAGCUGAAGAGGUGUACCAAUGGAAGCUACAAAACUGGGGCUGAAGAGGUCACAACCUUCCUCAGGGCUAUAGCGCAAACCAGAAAGAUGAAAAUCACAAUGCCAUCUCUUCCUCUCAGUCACCUUCCUCCAAUGCUUAUUUUGAAGGCUAAACAGAUCUGGGGGUCUCUUUGGAGGGCUAGGUCGAUGCUAGUCCUCACCCCAUGUCUUCUCUGAAAGAGCGAUUUCUGGUAGCCUUACACAGGCAUUGUGCAAUACUUGUGGAUUUUGAUUGACAAGACUGCUAUUCCAUCUCAUUUCUGCUGCUUGACUUGUACUACGGAAAUUCUUCAUGCCCUCUCUCUGCCUUCCUUAUUUUUAAAUACCUCUGGAGGAAGAAGGAUGAUGGCUGGGAAGCAGACAUGCUCCUGACCUUAAUGUCUGGACAGCACUUUGAAUAAGAGAGAAGUCAGUACUAAAUACAGUCAUCAUAAUGUGUCUAAGUGUCUGCUACUUAGACAAUAAAAUGAUUCUAACAUGACCACCUAAUCCUCUCUACAUCCACAUCGCCGUUCAGCAGUACUUCCUUUCUUCCAGCUAAUCAGCAUUUCAGCUAGCAAUUCUGAGGCUGUAGAAAGAAGAAAGCUUAAUUGGGUCUUGAACUAGAUGGAGAAACAGGCUACAAAAAAAUAAAAAUCACAAAAUACGAAGAACCAGAUAGCUCAUCCCAGAUAGCAUGAGUAGGCUAUGUAGCUCAGAAACAAGCAAAAUAUGUAAUCUGGGACCAAAAGAGAAAAAGUUAUAAUUAUCCAAUAGAAAGCAAAGGACUUGACUCAGUUCAGGAUGUAAGAUGAUAAACAUCACUUCAGAAACAAAACACACUGUCAUUCUGAGCUGUCUUGUGGCAGUUUUAACAUCUUGAAAAAGAGAUACUGUGUAUCUAUAGUCUUUCCUUUGAGGGAUGAUCUCUUCACCAUGGCCAAAUUAAAAAGUGUACUUUUAGUAUGUCUGUCGCACAAGCAGACAUACCUACGUCUUAGUUCUACCAAGAUAUAACCUUACCAGCUACCUAUUUUGUAUCUUUGCUAUCCAAGUGCCACUGCAGCUUUGUAUGGUUUCUCUUUAAAACAGAUGACACUGUUGAUGUGAUAGCUGCUUCAAAUACCUUUGAUCAUGGUUUCAGACACCACAGACAAAGGAAUUGCAUCAAGAUGCAUCUUGUCGAUUCAAAGUUCCAGUCAACUACUGCCCCUGCCAGAGUAUGCAACUGCAACUUAAUACUAACACAGAAAAAAUAAAAAUCAUCCCUAGGGAAGAAUUCAAGACCACUUGAGAUCGUUUUGGUACUGAAUGACCUCUAGCAUUUCAUCCUCUGAUAAAACAGGGGAAAACCAAGUACCCACAGAGGCAGAGCUCCCAGAACCCAUCCCCCUCUUCACAAAAGGAUUCAUUCCAUUAAAUGUAGAUGAAAUAUGCAUGACCAUUCACACAAAGGGGAAGGAAAAAACACAUGUCCACUGAAAUCUGUGAGAAGUGGUUCACACUGCCAUCUGCCCUUCUGAAAGAGAACUGAUGUGAAAGUAACCAGAAAUGUCUUCUGAAUACCAUUCUCA